rnacentral:rRNA from 1 species
CGCGUGGAGGAUGAAGGCCUUCGGGUCGUAAACUCCUGUCAGUAGGGACGAAUGCUUCGCAAGAAGUUUGACUGUACCUGCUGAGGAAGCCACGGCUAACUCCGUGCCAGCAGUCGCGGUAAGACGGGGGGGGCUAGUGUUAUUCGGAAUGACUAGGCGUAAAGGGCAUGUAGGCGGUUGAUACGGUCAAAAAGUGCCAAGCCACCAGCUCAACUGGUGGAAUGCUCGGACCCAUUGACUUGAGUAAGAUAGAGGAAGGUGGAAUUUCGUGUGUAGAGAUCAAAUUCACAGAUAUACGAAGGAACGCCGCUAAGCGCAGGCAAUCUUCUGGGUCUUUACUGACGCUGAGGUGCGAAAGCAUGGGUAGCAAACAGGAUUAGAUACCCUGGUAGUCCAUGCCGUAAACGAUGAGUGUUCGUCCUUGGUCAGUUUAGGCUGGUCAGGGUCCCAGCUAACGCGUUAAACACUCCGCCUGGGGAGUACGGUCGCAAGACUGAAACUCAAAGGAAUAGACGGGGGCCCGCACAAGCGGUGGAGUAUGUGGUUUAAUUCGACGCAACGCGAAGAACCUUACCUGGGCUUGACAUCUGGGGAGCCCUUAUGAAAGUAGGGGGUGCCCUUCGGGGAGCCCCA